CCUACGGGAGGCAGCAGUGGGGAAUAUUGGACAAUGGGCGAAAGCCUGAUCCAGCCAUGCCGCGUGUGUGAAGAAGGCCUUCGGGUUGUAAAGCACUUUCAGUGGGGAAGAAAGCCUUGGGGCUAAUACCCUCGAGGAAGGACAUCACCCACAGAAGAAGCACCGGCUAACUCCGUGCCAGCAGCCGCGGUAAUACGGAGGGUGCGAGCGUUAAUCGGAAUUACUGGGCGUAAAGCGCGCGUAGGCGGUCUGAUAAGCCGGUUGUGAAAGCCCCGGGCUCAACCUGGGAACGGCAUCCGGAACUGUCAGGCUAGAGGGCAGGAGAGGAAGGUAGAAUUCCCGGUGUAGCGGUGAAAUGCGUAGAGAUCGGGAGGAAUACCAGUGGCGAAGGCGGUCUUCUGGACUGACACUGACGCUGAGGUGCGAAAGCGUGGGUAGCAAACAGGAUUAGAUACCCGAGUAGUC
rnacentral:rRNA from 1 species